rnacentral:rRNA from 1 species
GACGAACGCUGGCGGCGUGCUUAACACAUGCAAGUCGAACGGAAAGGCCCUGCUUUUGUGGGGUGCUCGAGUGGCGAACGGGUGAGUAACACGUGAGUAACCUGCCCUUGACUUUGGGAUAACUUCAGGAAACUGGGGCUAAUACCGGAUAGGAGCUCCUGCUGCAUGGUGGGGGUUGGAAAGUUUCGGCGGUUGGGGAUGGACUGGCGGCUUAUCAGCUUGUUGGUGGGGUAGUGGCUUACCAAGGCUUUGAAGGGUAGCCGGCCUGAGAGGGUGACCGGCCACAUUGGGACUGAGAUACGGCCCAGACUACUACGGGAGGCAGCAGUGGGGAAUAUUGCACAAUGGGAGGAAGCCUGAUGCAGCAAAGCCGCGUGCGGGAUGACGGCCUGCGGGUUGUAAACCGCUUUCGCCUGUGACGAAGCGUGAGUGACGGUAAUGGGUAAAGAAGCACCGGCUAACUACGUG